AUGAUAUGCAUGUUUUACUGAAUUCUAUAGCAUCUCUAACUAUUGUAAGCCAAUAAAAACCAUAUUGAAAAAUUUUUGCAACUAUUUUUGUGCCAAAAAAAUGUCCUCCACAGUUAGAUGAAUGGCACAUUUUAAGAAUGCUAUGAUAUUCUUCUUCAGGAACACAUCUCUUAAGAAUUUGAUCAUUACCCAAGUAAUAUAAAUCAAGAUCAUGCCA
rnacentral:lncRNA from 1 species